rnacentral:rRNA from 1 species
AGUGAACGCUGGCGGCGUGCCUAAUACAUGCAAGUCGAGCGGAGUGGCGCACGGGUGGGUAAUGUAUAGCUAAUCUGCCCUACACUAGAGGACAACAGUUGGUAGCGGCUGCUAAUACUCUAUAGUGUAGGUUGAGGCUAUAUUGUAUCAGCUAGUUGGUGAGGUAAUGGCUCACCAAGGCUAUGACGCAUAACUGGUCUGAGAGGAGGAUAAGUAACACUGGAAAUGAGGCACGGUCCAGACUCCGACGGGAGGGAGCAGGAGGGAAGAGUGCUCAAGGGGGGAAACCCUGAAGCAGCAACGCCGCGUGGAGGAUGACACGUUUCGGAGCGUAAACUCCUUUUGUUAGGGAAGCGGUAACUAACGAAUAAGCACCGGCUAACUCCGUGCCAGCAGCCGCGGUAAUUC